AGUAAUGUAUGGGGAUCUGCCCGAUAGAGGGGGGUAACUACUGGAAACGGUGGCUAAUACCGCAUAAUGUCUACGGACCAAAGCAGGGGCUCUUCGGACCUUGCACUAUCGGAUGAACCCAUAUGGGAUUAGCUAGUAGGUGGGGUAAAGGCUCACCUAGGCGACGAUCUCUAGCUGGUCUGAGAGGAUGAUCAGCCACACUGGGACCGAGACACGGCCCAG
rnacentral:rRNA from 1 species